ensembl:lncRNA
GUCAAUUUCAUACACUUUGUAACAACCCAGCACCUACAUCUGAUGACUCCUCAUAACACCACACAGCGCUGAGGACUCCGUAUGCCUCUGUGGUCAAUAAGUAGCUGAAAAACUAUGCUGAGUACUUCAACAUCGUCAAGUGGUCAGCCUGCAUUUGAUUACAACCUACCAUUGUUUGCAGGCUCCUUAUUACUACUCCAACUGCUCAAGAAGCAAACGUCUGUGUUGAAUCAUACAGCAGUUGGCAAGGUGUCUCUUACAGAAAGGGACAAAGGAAAAGACAGAAGGCUACCUCAACAAGAGGAAAAAAAGAAGUGUAGCACCAUCAGAAGAAAUUGAGGGACAUGAGAAUCGCUGUACAGUCUGAGAUGAAGGGUGCACAAACUGCCUAAAUGACCUGCUAGAUGCGCAGCAACCACGGGAAGUUCAGGCAGCUCUGAGUUGGCACAGGAACCAGCCUCCUUCGGCCCCUCACAAGGAAUAUGUUAAAGGACAGCACGAUGAAAGAGAAAAAAGCCACAACAGCAGCAUCUCUGCUAACCAUCACUUUGAACUUACUCUAACCUAUACCAGGACACAUUAAAUUAAGUCCUACAUGCAAAAUCCUUCAAGUUAUCCCUUAAUUACUUUUGACCCUGAUCAAUGUUUACUAAGUGCAUCAGAAAUUUGAUCCAGGAUUCACCAACC